UGGGGAAUUUUGGACAAUGGGCGAAAGCCUGAUCCAGCAAUGCCGCGUGUGUGAAGAAGGCCUUCGGGUUGUAAAGCACUUUUGUCCGGAAAGAAAUCCUUGGCUCUAAUACAGUCGGGGGAUGACGGUACCGGAAGAAUAAGCACCGGCUAACUACGUGCCAGCAGCCGCGGUAAUACGUAGGGUGCAAGCGUUAAUCGGAACUACUGGGCGUAAAGCGUGCGCAGGCGGUUUGCUAAGACCGAUGUGAAAUCCCCGGGCUCAACCUGGGAACUGCAUUGGUGACUGGCAGGCUAGAGUAUGGCAGAGGGGGGUAGAAUUCCACGUGUAGCAGUGAAAUGCGUAGAGAUGUGGAGGAAUACCGAUGGCGAAGGCAGCCCCCUGGGCCAAUACUGACGCUCAUGCACGAAAGCGUGGGGAGCAAACAGGAUUAGAUACCCUGGUAGUCCACGCCCUAAACGAUAUCAACUAGUUGUUGGGGAUUCAUUUCCUUAGUAACGUAGCUAACGCGUGAAGUUGACCGCCUGGGGAGUACGGUCGCAAGAUUAAAACUCAAAUGAAUUGAC
rnacentral:rRNA from 1 species